rnacentral:tRNA from 1 species
GUGCGGGGGUGGCGGAAUUGGCAGACGCGCUGGAUUGAGGUUCCAGUGUCCGAAAGGACGUGGGGGCUCAAGUCCCCCCUCGCCCACCA